AGAGUUUGCUCCUGGCUUANGACGAACGCUGGCGGCGCGCCUAACACAUGCAAGUCGAACGAGCGAGAGAGAGCUUGCUUUCUCGAGCGAAUGGCGAACGGGUGAGUAACGCGUGAGGAACCUGCCUCAAAGAGGGGGACAACAGUUGGAAACGACUGCUGAUACCGCAUAAGCCCACGGGUCGGCAUCGACCAGAGGGAAAAGGAGCAAUCCGCUUUGAGAUGGCCUCGCGUCCGAUUAGCUAGUUGGUGAGGUAAUGGCCCACCAAGGCGACGAUCGGUAGCCGGACUGAGAGGUUGAACGGCCACAUUGGGACUGAGACACGGCCCAGACUCCUACGGGAGGCAGCAGUGGGGAAUAUUGCACAAUGGGGGAAACCCUGAUGCAGCGACGCCGCGUGGAGGAAGAAGGUCUUCGGAUUGUAAACUCCUGUGGUUGGGGAAGAUAAUGACGGUACCCAACAAGGAAGUGACAGCUAACUACGUGCCAGCAGCCGCGGUAAAACGUAGGUCACAAGCGUUGUCCGGAAUUACUGGGUGUAAAGGGAGCGCACGCGGGAAGACAAGUUGGAAGUGAAAUCUAUGGGCUCAACCCAUAAACUGCUUUCAAAACUGUUUUUCUUGAGUAGUGCAGAGGUAGGCGGAAUUCCCGGUGUAGCGGUGGAAUGCGUAGAUAUCGGGAGGAACACCAGUGGCGAAGGCGGCCUACUGGGCACCAACUGACGCUGAGGCUCGAAAGUGUGGGUAGCAAACAGGAUUAGAUACCCUGGUAGUCCACACCGUAAACGAUGAUUACUAGGUGUUGGAGGAUUGACCCCUUCAGUGCCGCAGUUAACACAAUAAGUAAUCCACCUGGGGAGUACGACCGCAAGGUUGAAACUCAAAGGAAUUGACGGGGGCCCGCACAAGCAGUGGAGUAUGUGGUUUAAUUCGACGCAACGCGAAGAACCUUACCAAGUCUUGACAUCCCUUGACGAUGCUGGAAACAGUAUUUCUCUUCGGAGCAAGGAGACAGGUGGUGCAUGGUUGUCGUCAGCUCGUGUCGUGAGAUGUUGGGUUAAGUCCCGCAACGAGCGCAACCCUUAUGGUCAGUUACUACGCAAGAGGACUCUGGCCAGACUGCCGUUGACAAAACGGAGGAAGGUGGGGAUGACGUCAAAUCAUCAUGCCCUUUAUGACUUGGGCUACACACGUACUACAAUGGCGUUAAACAAAGAGAAGCAAGACCGCGAGGUGGAGCAAAACUCAGAAACAACGUCCCAGUUCGGACUGCAGGCUGCAACUCGCCUGCACGAAGUCGGAAUUGCUAGUAAUCGUGGAUCAGCAUGCCACGGUGAAUACGUUCCCGGGCCUUGACACACCGCCCGUC
rnacentral:rRNA from 1 species